UACGUAGGGCGCAAGCGUUAUCCGGAAUUAUUGGGCGUAAAGAGCUCGUAGGCGGUUUGUCGCGUCUGCCGUGAAAGUCCGGGGCUCAACUCCGGAUCUGCGGUGGGUACGGGCAGGACUAGAGUGAUGUAGGGGGAGACUGGAAUUCCUGGUGUAGCGGUGAAAUGCGCAGAUAUCAGGAGGAACACCGAUGGCGAAGGCAGGUCUCUGGGCAUUAACUGACGCUGAGGAGCGAAAAGCAUGGGGGAGCGAACAGG
rnacentral:rRNA from 1 species